rnacentral:rRNA from 1 species
GACGAACGCUGGCGGCGUGCCUAAUACAUGCAAGUCGAGCGCAGGAAGUCGACGGAACCCUUCGGGGGGAAGUCGACGGAAUGAGCGGCGGACGGGUGAGUAACACGUAAAGAACCUGCCCUCAGGUCUGGGAUAACCACGAGAAAUCGGGGCUAAUACCGGAUGGGUCAUCGGACCGCAUGGUCCGAGGAUGAAAGGCGCUCCGGCGUCGCCUGGGGAUGGCUUUGCGGUGCAUUAGCUAGUUGGUGGGGUAAUGGCCCACCAAGGCGACGAUGCAUAGCCGACCUGAGAGGGUGAUCGGCCACACUGGGACUGAGACACGGCCCAGUCUCCUACGGGAGGCAGCAGUAGGGAAUCUUCCACAAUGGACGAAAGUCUGAUGGAGCAACGCCGCGUGAACGAUGAAGGCCUUCGGGUCGUAAAGUUCUGUUGUAAGGGAAGAACAAGUGCCGCAGGCAAUGGCGGCACCUUGACGGUACCUUGCGAGAAAGCCACGGCUAACUACGUGCCAGCCGCCGCCGUAAUAC